UACGUAGGGGGCUAGCGUUGUCCGGAAUCAUUGGGCGUAAAGAGCGCGUAGGCGGCCAGAUAAGUCCGGUGUGAAAGUCACAGGCUCAACCUGUGAAUGCCGCUGGAAACUGUCUGGCUAGAGUCCGGAAGGGGCGAGUGGAAUUCCUGGUGUAGCGGUGAAAUGCGCAGAUAUCAGGAGGAACACCAAUGGCGAAGGCAGCUCGCUGGAACGGUACUGACGCUGAGGCGCGAAAGCCAGGGGAGCGAACGGG
rnacentral:rRNA from 1 species